rnacentral:lncRNA from 1 species
GGGAGAGUCGAGUUGGGGUGCUUGGGGGUUACGAAGUGGGGAUGUCUAGGGGAUGCCGCAUUUACACACUGGGAGCUCAGGGCAGAGCUCAGCUUGGAGAAGGUAACUGGGAGUGAGUGAGUUUGUCCAGGGGCCAUGAGGAGCGUGGGCAGGAGGCCCAGGCACCCACUAUCCCAGGGCAGGAGGAGGAGGAGCUGCUGGGGAGGUAGAAGGAAAAUAGGAAGGUGAGGUCUCCCUGAAGCUGAGGGAGGGGAGAGCUUGAAGGAGGAGGGUGUGGCCUGCCCCAGUCAGAUGUCACAGAGGCUGAGGAGAAGCCACCAGAUCUGGCCAUCAGGGGCUGUCAAUGCCCUGGGUAGGAACAUUUUCCUGGCAGGGUGGGAACUGAACCUUGGGAAGCUCCGUGGUGAAGGGCUUUUCUCAAAGUUCCCAUAGUGAAUUACGGGCCCUCCAAUGUCCCCCCAACAGGUCCCAUCCAUCGUGCCCGCCCCUGAGGUCCUUCUCAUCACAUUUUUCCAUGUUUUUUCACGGUAAACUCCAGGAGAAGCCACCAGGAACCACGCUAAGCCUAUUAUCUCAUUUGAACUUUGUUUCAGUCUCAAGAAGUCAGUAUCAUUUUCAUUCCCACUUUGCAGACAAGCAAACUGAGGCCCUGAGGUCAGGAACUUAAUUGGCCAGUACUGGGGGCAGGCCAUUCCUAACUUGUGGGUGGCAAUGGGGAAAAACAAACCCACAUCGUCUGAACUUACAACACCUGAACUCUGGUUCUCACACCGUGGCCUGCACACAAAUCACCAGAGGCUGGCAUGAAUUUGCAGACUCUUAGGCCCAAACUGCAGAUUCUGAUUCAGCAGGUGCGAAGCAGCGUCUGGGGACACGUUCUGUUCACCAGCACGCCAAGUGAUUCCCACGCAGGUGCUGGAGGGCCACCCUGAGACGACAUGAACCCAAUGGUGCACACGUGGUGGACCUGCAGGCAGUGGAAUAGUCCUGGACCCCUAAGCCACUGGUUUCUGGCGAUCAGUUAGGGCUCUGGCUGCAGCUGGGAGCUGAGCCCGGGCUGGGGGAGGCAGAGGGCGGUAAUAAAGAAACAACAGGAAGCUCAGCUUUUAUUAGCCCUGGGUAGUCGCAGCUGCAGCCUCUGUGCAGGGAGCCGGGAGCAGAGAUGACCAAGAUCCAGUCUCUGACCUCAAGGAGCUCAUGGGCUAGUCGGGGAGACAGACCCCCAAACAGACAACCGCGGUAUUUGCUAAAAGCCGUAAUGGAGGCAUGUGCAUCCUGUGUCGAAGCAGAAGAGAACCCGUCCAGCUCUGGGAGGGGCUGGGGAGGCUGCACGUGGAAGGGCUUUUGAGCAGCAUCUUUAAAAAAAUGUUAAUAAUGUAUUUUAUUGAACCCAAUAUUUCAAAAUAUGAUCAACAUGUAAUAUUAUCAAUUAAAAU